AUUGAACGCUGGCGGCAGGCCUAACACAUGCAAGUCGAGCGAGCGGCGGACGGGUGAGUAAUGUCUGGGAAACUGCCUGAUGGAGGGGGAUAACUACUGGAAACGGUAGCUAAUACCGCAUACCAUCAGAUGUGCCCAGAUGGGAGUAGCUGGUAGGUGGGGUAAAGGCUCACCUAGGCGACUAUCCCUAGCUGGUCUGAGAGGAUGACCAGCCACCCUGCAACUGAGACACGGUCCAGACUCCUACGCGCGGCAGCAGUGGGGAAUAUUGCACAAUGGGCGCAAGCCUGAUACAGCCAUGCCGCGUGUAUGAAGAAGGCCUUCGGGUUGUAAAGUACUUUCAGCGGGGAGGCGUUACCCGCAGAAGAAGCACCGGCUAACUCCGUGCCAGCCGCCGCGGUAAUAC
rnacentral:rRNA from 1 species